UACGGAGGUGGCAAGCGUUGCUCGGAAUCACUGGGCGUAAAGGGCGCGUAGGCGGGGAGGUAAGUCGGGUGUGAAAUCCCUCGGCCCAACCGAGGAACUGCGCCCGAGACUGCUUCUCUUGAGUCCCGGAGGGGAAGAUGGAAUUCCCGGUGUAGCGGUGAAAUGUGUAGAGAUCGGGAGGAACACCGGUGGCGAAGGCGGCCACCUGGACGGUAACUGACGCUGAGACGCGAAAGCGUGGGGAGCAAACAGG
rnacentral:rRNA from 1 species